rnacentral:rRNA from 1 species
CCUACGGGAGGCAGCAGUGGGGAAUAUUGCGCAAUGGGCGAAAGCCUGACGCAGCGACGCCGCGUGAGGGAUGAAGGUCUUCGGAUCGUAAACCUCUGUCAGCAGGGAAGAAAGGUCACUGUGCUAAUCAGCAGUGAAUUGACGGUACCUGCAAAGGAAGCACCGGCUAACUCCGUGCCAGCAGCCGCGGUAAUACGGAGGGUGCGAGCGUUAAUCGGAAUUACUGGGCGUAAAGCGCUCGUAUGAGGUAUGUCAAGUCAAGGGGGAAAUCCCCGCGCUCAACGUGGGAACUGCCUUUGAAACUGGCAAACUGGAGUGUGUGAGAGGAUAGUGGAAUUCCAGGUGUAGGAGUGAAAUCCGUAGAGAUCUGGAGGAACAUCAGUGGCGAAGGCGACUAUCUGGCACAUAACUGACGCUGAGGAGCGAAAGCGUGGGGAGCAAACAGGAUUAGAUACCCCUGUAGUC